UGGGGAAUCUUGCACAAUGGGCGAAAGCCUGAUGCAGCCAUGCCGCGUGAGUGAAGAAGGCCCUAGGGUUGUAAAGCUCUUUCAGCGGGGAAGAUAAUGACGGUACCCGCAGAAGAAGCCCCGGCUAACUUCGUGCCAGCAGCCGCGGUAAGACGAAGGGGGCUAGCGUUGUUCGGAAUUACUGGGCGUAAAGCGCGCGUAGGCGGAUUGGUCAGUUGGGGGUGAAAGCCCGGAGCUCAACUCCGGAAUUGCCUUCAAUACUGCCAGUCUUGAGUACGGGAGAGGUGAGUGGAAUUCCCAGUGUAGAGGUGAAAUUCGUAGAUAUUGGGAAGAACACCGGUGGCGAAGGCGGCUCACUGGCCCGUUACUGACGCUGAGGUGCGAAAGCGUGGGGAGCAAACAGGAUUAGAUACCCCCGUAGUCC
rnacentral:rRNA from 1 species